rnacentral:rRNA from 1 species
UACGUAGGCGGAAGAUUAAGUCAGUGGUGAAAUCCUGCAGCUUAACUGUAGAACUGUCAUUGAUACUGGUUUUCUUGAAUUUAGUUGAGGUAGGCGGAAUGUGUAAUGUAGCGGUGAAAUGCUUAGAUAUUACACAGAACACCGAUUGCGAAGGCAGCUUACUAAACUAUGAUUGGCGCUGAGGUACGAAAGCGUGGGGAGCGAACAGGAUUAGAUACCCUGGUAGUCC